GACGAACGCUGGCGGCGUGCUUAACACAUGCAAGUCGAACGAUGAAGCCGGAGCUUGCUCUGGUGAAUUAGUGGCGAACGGGUGAGCAACACGUGAGUAACCUGCCCUUGACUCUGGGAUAACUGCGGGAAACUGUAGCUAAUACCGGAUACGACCCUCGGAGGCAUCUCCUGGGGGUGGAAAGAAUUUCGGUCAAGGAUGGACUCGCGGCCUAUCAGCUAGUUGGUGAGGUAAAGGCUCACCAAGGCGACGACGGGUAGCCGGCCUGAGAGGGUGACCGGCCGCACUGGGAGUGAGACACGGCCCAGACUCCUAGGGGAGGCAGCAGUUGGGAAUAUUGCACAAUGGGCGCAAGCCUGAUGCAGCAACGCCGCGUGAGGGAUGACGGCCUUCGGGUUGUAAACCUCUUUUAGCAGGGAAGCAGCGAAAGUGACGGUACCUGCAGAAAAAGCACCGGCUAACUACGUGCCAGCAGCCGCCGUAA
rnacentral:rRNA from 1 species